GACGAACGCUGGCGGCGUGCCUAAUACAUGCAAGUUGAGCGCUGAAGGUUGGUACUUGUACCAACUGGAUGAGCAGCGAACGGGUGAGUAACGCGUGGGGAAUCUGCCUUUGAGCGGGGGACAACAUUUGGAAACGAAUGCUAAUACCGCAUAAAAACUUUAAACACAAGUUUUAAGUUUGAAAGAUGCAAUUGCAUCACUCAAAGAUGAUCCCGCGUUGUAUUAGCUAGUUGGUGAGGUAAAGGCUCACCAAGGCGAUGAUACAUAGCCGACCUGAGAGGGUGAUCGGCCAACAUGGGACUGGGACACGGCCCAAACUCCUACGGGAGGCAGCAGUAGGGGAUCUUCGGCAAUGGACGAAAGUCUGACCGAGCAACGCCGCGGGAGUGAAGAAGGUUUUCGGAUCGUAAAACUCUGUUGGUAGGGAAGAACGUUGGUGAGAGUGGAAAGCUCAUCAAGUGACGGUAACUACCCAGAAAGGGACGGCUAACUACGUG
rnacentral:rRNA from 1 species